rnacentral:rRNA from 1 species
CAGCCGCCGCGGUAAUACGUAGGUCCCGAGCGUUGCCCGGAUUUAUUGGGCGUAAAGCGAGCGCAUGCGGUUAGAUAAGUCUGAAGUUAAAGGCUGUGGCUUAACCAUAGUACGCUUUGGAAACUGUUUAACUUGAGUGCAAGAGGGGAGAGUGGAAUUCCAUGUGUAGCGGUGAAAUGCGUAGAUAUAUGGAGGAACACCGGUGGCGAAAGCGGCUCUCUGGCUUGUAACUGACGCUGAGGCUCGAAAGCGUGGGGAGCAAACAGGAUUAGAUACCCGCGUAGUCCCUGUCUCUUAUACA